ACGCUGGCGGCAGGCCUAACACAUGCAAGUCGAGCGGUAGAGAGAAGCUUGCUUCUCUUGAGAGCGGCGGACGGGUGAGUAAUGCCUAGGAAUCUGCCUGGUAGUGGGGGAUAACGUUCGGAAACGGACGCUAAUACCGCAUACGUCCUACGGGAGAAAGCAGGGGACCUUCGGGCCUUGCGCUAUCAGAUGAGCCUAGGUCGGAUUAGCUAGUUGGUGGGGUAAUGGCUCACCAAGGCGACGAUCCGUAACUGGUCUGAGAGGAUGAUCAGUCACACUGGAACUGAGACACGGUCCAGACUCCUACGGGAGGCAGCAGUGGGGAAUAUUGGACAAUGGGCGAAAGCCUGAUCCAGCCAUGCCGCGUGUGUGAAGAAGGUCUUCGGAUUGUAAAGCACUUUAAGUUGGGAGGAAGGGCAUUAACCUAAUACGUUAGUGUUUUGACGUUACCGACAGAAUAAGCACCGGCUAACUCUGUGCCAGCAGCCGCGGUAAUACAGAGGGUGCAAGCGUUAAUCGGAAUUACUGGGCGUAAAGCGCGCGUAGGUGGUUUGUUAAGUUGGAUGUGAAAUCACCGGGCUCAACCAGGGAACUGCAUUCAAAACUGACUGACUAGAGUAUGGUAGAGGGUGGUGGAAUUUCCUGUGUAGCGGUGAAAUGCGUAGAUAUAGGAAGGAACACCAGUGGCGAAGGCGACCACCUGGACUAAUACUGUCACUGAGGUGCGAAAGCGUGGGGAGCAAAC
rnacentral:rRNA from 1 species